AGCUUUGUAGUUUAUGUGAAAAUGCUUGUUUGUGAUAUGAGUGAAAUUGGAGCUUU
rnacentral:tRNA from 1 species